GAUGAACGCUGGCGGCGUGCCUAAUACAUGCAAGUCGAGCGAACAGACGAGGAUCUUGCUCCUCUGACGUUACCAGCGGACGGGUGAGUCACAAGUGGAUAACCUACCUAUCAGACUGGAGCAACUUCGGGAAAGCGUAGUUAAUACCGGAUAAUAUAUUGAACCGCAUGGUUCAAUAGUGAAAGAUGGUUUUGGUGUCACUUAUAGACGGAUCAGCGCCGCAUUGGCUGGUUGGUAAGGUAACGGCCUACCAAGGGAACGACGCGUAGCCGAGCCGGGAGGGUGGUCGGCCACCCGGGAGCGGAGACGGGCACCAGGCUCCUGCGGGAGGGAGCAGUAGGGAAUCUGCCGCAAUGGUCGGAAGUCUUGCGGAGCGACGCCACGUGUGAUGUAGAGACCUUGGGUGCGUAAAACUCGGUUAUUAGGGGUGAACAAAUUUGUAAGGAGCAGUGCACAUCUUGACGGUACCUGAUCAGAAAGCCACGGCUAACUACGUG
rnacentral:rRNA from 1 species